GACGAACGCUGGCGGCGUGCCUAAUACAUGCAAGUAGAACGCUGAAGGAGGAGCUUGCUUCUCUGGAUGAGUUGCGAACGGGUGAGUAACGCGUAGGUAACCUGCCUGGUAGCGGGGGAUAACUAUUGGAAACGAUAGCUAAUACCGCAUAAGAGUAGAUGUCGCAUGACAUUUGCUUAAAAGGUGCAAUUGCAUCACUACCAGAUGGACCUGCGUUGGAUUAGCUAGUUGGUGAGGUAACGGCUCACCAAGGCAACGAUACAUAGUCGACCUGAGAGGGUGGGUGGCCGACCUGGGACGGGGACCCGGCCCAGUCGGCCUCAGGGAGGGGCCAGAGGGAAACGUGAGGAAUGGGCGGAAAACUGAGCGAGCAAGGCCGCGGCCGGACAGAAGGGUGUCGGGUCGUGAAGCUCGGUUGUCAGGGUAGAAACAGUUUGAGAAUGGAACGUUCACACUGUGACGGUACCUGAUCAGAAAGCAACGGCUAACUACGUG
rnacentral:rRNA from 1 species